rnacentral:rRNA from 1 species
UGUAAGCGUAUACCAAAGUUGUUGCAGUUAAAACGCUCGUAGUCGGAAUUUGGCAGUUCCGGAAGUGUGCACGUCGUGUGCGCACUUUGCGGGGACUGCUUUUGUGGUCUUGCGUAGGAUGAGGCACUUUCAUUAGUGAACGUCCUCACGCAACCACUCUUUACUGUGAGAAAAUCAGAGUGCUCAAAGCAGGCAUUUGCCGUGAAUGUAUUAGCAUGGAAUAAUAGAAUAGGACUCGGUUCUAUUUUGUUGGUUUGUUGGGACUGAGUAAUGAUUAAGAGGGACAGUUGGGGGCAUUUGUAUUCCGGCGCUAGAGGUGAAAUUCUUAGAUUGCCGGAAGACAAACUGCUGCGAAAGCGUCUGCCAAGGAUGCUUUCAUUGA